CUACGGGGGGCAGCAGUGAGGAAUAUUGCACAAUGGGGGAAACCCUGAUGCAGCAACGCCGCGUGGAGGAUGACGCAUUUCGGUGUGUAAACUCCUUUUAUGAGUCAAGAAAAUGACGGUAGCUCAUGAAUAAGCACCGGCUAACUCCGUGCCAGAGCCGCGGUAAUACGGAGGGUGCAAGCGUUACUCGGAAUCACUGGGCGUAAAGGACGCGUAGGCGGGAUGUCAAGUCAGGUGUGAAAUCCUAUGGCUCAACCAUAGAACUGCACUUGAAACUGGCAACCUAGAGUAUGGGAGGGGGAGAUGGAAUUAGUGGUGUAGGGGUAAAAUCCGUAGAUAUCACUAGGAAUACCGAAAGCGAAGGCGAUCUCCUGGAACAUUACUGACGCUAAGGCGUGAAAGCGUGGGGAGCAAACAGGAUUAGAUACCCGUGUAGUC
rnacentral:rRNA from 1 species